GUGGGAUUUUAAGCGCAUUAACAAAUAGGACUACAACUGUGAUGUCUCAUAUUAAAUUUACACUUUUUAUUCCCGAGACGUAACGCCAAACAGAAAUGGUAAGUUUAGAAAUCAAGCAAUGUCAAGUGCAUGUUAUAUAAAAAAAAAAAUUGAUAAACAUGUUACCUGUCUACCGAAACCUGUAUAUAAUAAGAUAAAUUAGACUGACUAAUCUGAGUGCUAAAGAAUUUUUUUUUAAAAGUACAUUUAAUAUUAACUGAAGAGCCGCCAGUCUGCUUACCUCAAGAUCAACCCAUUUCAGUCACAAAGAUGCUGUUUCAAGAUAAAAAUGACUCUUGAUGACUUGAAACGCGUUGAUCUUGGCGUGAGCAGCUUGACAGUUUAUGGAGUAAGUGGCACUUCACACUGUGUCCUGCUGUGUCUGAAGCUGACUGGAAUCCUGUGGAAAUCGUAACACUGAAACAUUGUAUCCAGCUGAGACCACGCAUUUGCAUGCUAUGCUUGUGAGAUAAUAUGGUUUCCUAUUAAGGAGGAAAGUGUGUUUUUCGAUUUCACUAUUUUAAUAUUAUUAUUAUUGUUCUUUUAUUGAACUUUCCCUUACUCUCCUAUACGUAUGUAUAUGCCAUUGUAACAAUGUAACCAAUGUUAUUCAAAUCACUUAUCAGUGGUUUUAAUGUUGUAGCUAAUCAUUGUACGUCUUCAAAAUAUUUAUGUGCUGUAAUUCGGAAGAUAUUUUCAGGUCUAUUUGCAUGUGCUCUACUGUUGAUAGUAGCUGUACACUUUGUAUCGCUGUUGCUGUUUGCCAAUUCCAUCAUCCUCGUGAUUUCCAAACGGCUUCAUAUUUACAUUUGGAAAAUGAUUUUAAUUACAAUUCCUAUAAUCUUCCAUAACGUCUAUUAUAAACCAAUAUUUAUUUUCUUACAGAUCUAUUACUGUUGCUUGGAAUAUUUUACCUCAUGAUUUCUCCUCCUUAUCUUAAAGCUAACUGUAGAAUGUGGCAUACGCUACUGUUAAUGUAUUGGCAGACACAAACAGAUAUUUAUUUAAAUUAUACACCUGAAUUAUGCUCACUGACUUCAAAGACUUUCAAAGGCAUGUGCUUGCUUAUCUAUAUUUCAGCUGAAAGGCUACACUUCACAGAAAACCAGCUUAAACACCAUUCCCAGCAAACAUGGAAAACAGAAAGUGGAAGCACGUCUAAUGCAUGAUGCAGAACAUGGGAAGGCAUUAGUAGUUGCCGUCUACUGUAUUUGUCAAAAUAAAAAGCCAGGAUUUGCCGGUUGGUAAAUUACAAGAAUUAGUCUAGUGCUGCAUUCCUAUUUCGAUAUGUA